CUGAUGGCGACCGGCGUACGGGUGAGUAACGCGUAUCCAACCUGCCCUUUACUAUGGGACAGCCCGUCGAAAGGCGGAUUAAUACCGUAUGUUGUCAUGUUGAUGCAUAUUUUCAUGACCAAAGGCUUCGGCCGGUAAAGGAUGGGGAUGCGUCUGAUUAGCUUGCCGGCGGGGUAACGGCCCACCGGGGCGACGAUCAGUAGGGGUCCUGAGAGGAAGGUCCCCCACAUUGGAACUGAGACACGGUCCAAACUCCUACGGAAGGCAGCAG
rnacentral:rRNA from 1 species